rnacentral:rRNA from 1 species
AUGUACAUGCUUACAAUGUUAAUGCAUUGGAUCCCAUCAGAACUUCGUAGUUAAGUGCACUUGGGCUAGAGUAGUACUAGGAUGGGUGACCUCUCAGGAAGUCCUAGUGUUUUACAUG